rnacentral:rRNA from 1 species
GGUGCAUUAGCUAGUUGGUGAGGUAACGGCUCAACCAAGGCCACGAUGCAUAGCCGACCUGAGAGGGUGAUCGGCCACACUGGGACUGAGACACGGCCCAGACUCCUACGGGAGGCAGCAGUAGGGAAUCUUCCGCAAUGGACGAAAGUCUGACGGAGCAACGCCGCGUGAGUGAUGAAGGCUUUCGGGUCGUAAAACUCUGUUGUUAGGGAAGAACAAGUAUGAGAGUAACUGCUCGUACCUUGACGGUACCUAACCAGAAAGCCACGGCUAACUACGUGCCAGCAGCCGCGGUAAUACGUAGGUGGCAAGCGUUAUCCGGAAUUAUUGGGCGUAAAGCGCGCGCAGGCGGUUUCUUAAGUCUGAUGUG